rnacentral:rRNA from 1 species
AGCGACUGUGCAGGUUACCGCGGCUGCUGGCACGGAGUUAGCCGGUGCUUCUUCUGUGAGUGAUGUCCUUCCUGCCGGCUAUUAACCCGCAGGCCUUCUUCCUCACUGAAAGUGCUUUACAACCCGAAGGCCUUCUUCACACACGCGGCAUGGCUGGAUCAGGGUUGCCCCCAUUGUCCAAUAUUCCCCACUGCUGCCUCCCGUAGGAGUCUGGGCCGUGUCUCAGUCCCAGUGUGGCUGAUCAUCCUCUCAGACCAGCUACGGAUCGUCGCCUUGGUGAGCCGUUACCUCACCAACCAGAUAAUCCGACAUAGGCUCAUCCGAUAGCGCGAGGCCCGGAAGGUCCCCCGCUUUCCCCCGGUAGGGCGUAUGCGGUAUUAGCCUGGGUUUCCCCAGGUUAUCCCCCACUACCGGGCAGAUUCCUAUGCAUUACUCACCCGUCCGCCGCUCGCCACCAGGGAGCAAGCUCCCCGUGCUGCCGCUCGACUUGCAUGUGUUAGGCCUGCCGCCAGCGUUCAAU